CGGGUGAGUAACGCGUGGAUAACCUGCCUCACACUGGGGGAUAACAGUUAGAAAUGACUGCUAAUACCGCAUAAGCGCACAGUACCGCAUGGUACAGUGUGAAAAACUCCGGUGGUGUGAGAUGGAUCCGCGUCUGAUUAGCCAGUUGGCGGGGUAACGGCCCACCAAAGCGACGAUCAGUAGCCGACCUGAGAGGGUGACCGGCCACAUUGGGACUGAGACACGGUCCAA
rnacentral:rRNA from 1 species